GUGAGUAGUUCAGAGUUUGAUCCUGGCUCAGAACGAACGCUGGCGGCGCGUCUUAAGCAUGCAAGUCGGGCGUGAUCGGUAGCUUGCUACCGUGAAAGCGGCGGACUGGUGAGUAACACGUAGAUGACGCACCCACUGGACGGGGAUAGCCUGUAGAAAUACAGGGUAAUACCGGAUGUGAUGGCCCCUUCUCGAAGGGGGUCAGGAAAGGAGCCACGGCUCCGCCAGUGGAACGGUCUGCGGCCCAUCAGCUAGUUGGCGGGGUAAGGGCCCACCAAGGCAGUGACGGGUAUCCGGCCUUAGAGGGUGAACGGACACAUUGGGACUGAGAUACGGCCCAG
rnacentral:rRNA from 1 species